AUUAUUCCCUCCUAAAGUAGCCUACGUGGCAUUAAUUACCCAACUACCCAAAGAACCCCCUCUCAUUCAAUUUUCUCUCUCCUUAUUUCUUCCUCUCUGCGAAGUCCAUUAAAGAAGCUCAACUUCUUUUCUGAGCUCAUUCCAUUAUUCCCACCAACCUGAUUGUAAUUGAAAAAGGACGAAAUUGGGUGCUCUAGAGAACGGUGCAAGCUGAAGUUGAACUCCAUUAAUUUGGGCUAAAGCAGUAAGCCAAGCUUCAGUCAGUGGUAGGGGCUCAACUUCAGCUGAGUCCAGUGCUGGAAGAGGCUAAGCCAGGGGGAGAGGAAUAGGGCAAGGCAUGGAAAGAGGUUCAGGGCAAGGCAGGGGAACAACUAGGGGAAGAGGGAGGACUCAGUCUCCCAUUGGAAUUGGAGUUCUAUUCAGCCAAGAUGGGACACCAUUAACUGAGAGUCCUAGUACAAGGAGGAUGCUCAGAAGUCAAGGUCUUGGAACACAAUCAAGCCACACCUCCACUGUUGAUAAUUGAUGAUGCAACUUGUUUCUCUGUGUAAUUAAUCAACUUUAUGUAAUAGUUUAGCAACUGUUGGGCCUUUUUUUUGGUCAUUGCUUGGCCAGCAAAUAUUGUCAUGCACAAUUUAUUUUGGAACAAUUUCAAGUUGUAAAACUUUAUCUUUGUGUAAUGACCUAAAACUUACUUCAAACUCAAACAAUGUCAAAGUUUUUACU